GUGAGUGAAGAAGGUUUUCGGAUCGUAAAACUCUGUUGUGAGGGAAGAACAAGUACCAAUUAACUACUGGUACCUUGACGGUACCUCACCAGAAAGCCACGGCUAACUACGUGCCAGCAGCCGCGGUAAUACGUAGGUGGCAAGCGUUGUCCGGAAUUAUUGGGCGUAAAGCGCGCGCAGGCGGUCCUUUAAGUCUGAUGUGAAAGCCCACGGCUCAACCGUGGAGGGUCAUUGGAAACUGGGGGACUUGAGUGCAGAAGAGGAAAGUGGAAUUCCACGUGUAGCGGUGAAAUGCGUAGAGAUGUGGAGGAACACCAGUGGCGAAGGCGACUUUCUGGUCUGUAACUGACGCUGAGGCGCGAAAGCGUGGGGAGCAAACAGGAUUAGAUACCCUGGUAGUCCACGCCGUAAACGAUGAGUGCUAAGUGUUAGGGGGUUUCCGCCCCUUAGUGCUGCAGCUAACGCAUUAAGCACUCCGCCUGGGGAGUACGGCCGCAAGGCUGAAACUCAAAGGAAUUGACGGGGGCCCGCACAAGCGGUGGAG
rnacentral:rRNA from 1 species